GUGUUCCUCGGAACCAUUCAUUGCACAAAGAUUUAAAUCACUAAAAUACGACUUGACACUCAACCUAUUCUUGUGAAAUGCAGGUACAAGGAUAUGAUGAGAGGAAUGCCCCCACUAAACCGAGCAUCCCGGGAUGGGUCACUUUGAGAGGAUGUCGAUCGACUCUUCGAGAUACUCGAGAGACUUAUCUCUGCCUAACAAGUUUGGAAGAGAUGAAGGAGCUGUUUGACCCUCCACCAUUGCCACAUUAUGAG
rnacentral:lncRNA from 1 species